UACGGAGGGUGCGAGCGUUGUCCGGAAUUACUGGGCGUAAAGAGCUCGUAGGUGGUUUGUCGCGUUGUCCGUGAAAACUCACAACUCAAUUGUGGGCGUGCGGGCGAUACGGGCAGACUGGAGUACUGCAGGGGAGACUGGAAUUCCUGGUGUAGCGGUGGAAUGCGCAGAUAUCAGGAGGAACACCGGUGGCGAAGGCGGUUCUCUGGGCAUGAUCUGACGCUGAGGAGCGAAAGUGUGGGGAGCGAACAGG
rnacentral:rRNA from 1 species